UGGGGAAUAUUGGACAAUGGGCGCAAGCCUGAUCCAGCCAUGCCGCGUGAGUGAUGAAGGCCCUAGGGUUGUAAAGCUCUUUCACCGGUGAAGAUAAUGACGGUAACCGGAGAAGAAGCCCCGGCUAACUUCGUGCCAGCAGCCGCGGUAAUACGAAGGGGGCUAGCGUUGUUCGGAUUUACUGGGCGUAAAGCGCACGUAGGCGGACUAUUAAGUCAGGGGUGAAAUCCCGGGGCUCAACCCCGGAACUGCCUUUGAUACUGGUAGUCUUGAGUUCGAGAGAGGUGAGUGCAAUUCCGAGUGUAGAGGUGAAAUUCGGAGAUAUUCGGAGGAACACCAUUGGCGAAGGCGGCUCACUGGCUCGAUACUGACGCUGAGGUGCGAAAGCGUGGGGAGCAAACAGG
rnacentral:rRNA from 1 species